rnacentral:rRNA from 1 species
UACGAAGGGUGCAAGCGUUAAUCGGAAUUACUGGGCGUAAAGGGCGCGUAGGCGGUUCGUUAAGUCUGUCGUGAAAUCCCCGGGCUCAACCUGGGAAUGGCAAUGGAUACUGGCAGGCUAGAGUGUGUCAGAGGAUGGUGGAAUUCCCGGUGUAGCGGUGAAAUGCGUAGAGAUCGGGAGGAACAUCAGUGGCGAAGGCGGCCAUCUGGGACAACACUGACGCUGAGGCACGAAAGCGUGGGGAGCAAACAGG